rnacentral:tRNA from 1 species
CUGCCCAUAGCUCAACUGGAUAGAGCAACGCCCUUCUAAGGCGUAGGUUCCAGGUUCGAUUCCUGGUGGGCAGGCCA